rnacentral:lncRNA from 1 species
CCAUCCCCGCCCCGGGCCCCCGCUGCCAGGGGCCGCCCCCCGCUCCCGCGGCGCCGCCCUCCCUCCGUUCUUCCCUCCGUUCCUCCCUCCGUUCCUCCCUCCCUGCCUCCCUCCCUGCCGCCGCUCCCCCGGACCCCGUGACGGCCCCGUCCCGCCCCGGCAGGCGGGAGCGCGGGUGCGCUCGGUCCCGCUCGGCGCGGAGGAGCCAUGGGCUCGGCGCCGCAGCUCCCGCCGCCACCGCCGCCGCCGCCGCUCGGGGAAUGCGAGCGGGAAGCGGCGGCCGCCCGGCACCGGCGGCGCCCGGAGGAGCAGGUCCAGCAAGAGCAAAGGAGCCACACCACAGAGCCUGUGAUAGAUGACUAUAAAAAGAUGGGGACUCUCUUUGGCGAACUAAACAAAAGCCUUAUCAGAAUAGGCUUCACAAGGAUGUACUUUGGAGAACGGAUAGUAGAACCCGUAAUAAUUAUAUUCUUCUGGGUUAUGCUCUGGUUUCUUGGCCUACAAGCUCUUGGACUGGUGGCUGUUCUGUGCCUUGUCAUUAUUUAUGUACAACAGUAAAAUUUUAUAGAUGCUAUUUGCAUUAUGUAUUUCAACACUGUCACUAUGUCAGUGGAUUUAUGUGUUUAAGUAAAUGGGUGGUACAUCAAAAGCUGCAGUGCUUCAAAUGGCUGAACUUCCGAUGACGGGGACUAAAGUUAUGCAUUUUACACCAAAUCAGCAGUGCCCUACUACAUCUUUUAAGGGGAAAAAAAAGGAUUGGCUUUUCAUUUUCCCCUCCCCUCUCCCCAUGUUCUUGUUUUGUACAGUGAAAAUUUCAUGUCUGGUUUUAAGAGGACACUUGAUGUGUUCUGUUUCACUGCCAGGGGGCUCAUACACUGUUUGUUCCCUGAAUCUGCAUGAUUUGUUAGUGUUUUGCCGAAAAGCUAAAUCUGCACAAGGGAGAUUUGUUAACAAACCUGCAAUGACAAACAUUCACAAGAUGAAUACAAUUUCCAGACACAAAAGCAACUUUGAUUAG